CCCUUAGAUGUUCUUGGCCGCACGCGCGCUACACUGAUGCAUUCAACGAGCCUAUCCUUGACCGACAGGUCCGGGUAAUCUUUGAAUCUGCAUCGUGACGGGGAUAGAUUAUUGCAAUUAUUAAUCUUCAACGAGGAAUGCCUAGUAGGCGCAAGUCAUCAGCUUGCGUCGAUUACGUCCCUGCCCUUUGUACACACCGCCCGUCGCUCCUACCGAUUGGGUGUGCUGGUGAAAUGUUCGGAUCGGCCGUUUGUCGCGGUUUCCGCGGCUCGUGGCUGAGAAGUUCAUUAAACCCUCCCACCUAGAGGAAGGAGAAGUCGUAACA
rnacentral:rRNA from 1 species